GCGGUGGUGCUGAAAUUGGUAGACAGGCAUGGUUGAGGGCCAUGUGUCCGCAAGGACGUGAGGGUUCAAGUCCCUCCCACCGCA
rnacentral:tRNA from 2 species